AUAGUGAAGGGAAUCCAGGACCCAACAAAGUUGGCAAAGAAAUGUAUGAGCACCUGGUGGAUUCAGUCUAGAAGAUGGAUGUAUGACAAGAUAUGGCAUCCAGAACCAGAGAAACAAAGUCACAUUGCCUCUCUUAUGUCCUCAGAACUUUUCCCCUGGCAUUUGGAACUUAAGAAAAUGAAAGGGCAGUUUAAAAUCUUUCCAUGGCAAUAGAACAAGACUUCAGUAUCACUACCCAAGCCUUGGGAGCACUCCAGUCAGAAGUCAACAGUCCAGCUUCUGCUGUACUUUAGAACUGCUGCAGCCUGAAUGUGCUGACAGCCCAACAGGGAGGAGCUUGUGCAGCUAUUGGUGACAAAUGCUGUUUCUACAUAAACCGCUCAGGGCAAGUAGAGACUGAUCUGCACCUCUUGAAGGUCAAGAUCUCUUACUACCCAGCUACUAAACCAACUUCUCUCUCCAGAGCCACUAACUUAGGAUUUUUUUUUUUUUUUUGAGACAGAGUCUCACUCUGUCACCCAGGCUGGAGUGCAGUGGUGUGAUCUUGGCUCACUGCAACUUCCGCCUCCCAGGUUCAAGCAAUUCUCUGCCUCAGCCUUCCAAGUAGCUGGAAUUACAGGUGCCCGCCUAUAAUCCAUACCCAGCUAAUUUUUGUAUUUUUAGUAGAGACGGGGUUUCACCAUCUUGGCCAGGCUGGUCUUGAACUCCUGACCUCAUGAUCCACCUACCUUGGCCUCCCAAAGUGCUGGGAUUAUAGGCAUGAGCCACCGCGCCCGGCCUAACUCAGCUUUUUAUGUGUGAAACUUCUAGGGGAGUUCCAGACAGGGAGAAUGAAUAAGCUCCUUGGUAUAAUGUAUAUUUUGAAUUAAAAGACUUUAUAAAUCAACAGGCCUCAGAAGAAACUUAUCCCCUAACUUCAAAAAGAUCAGAUAGGCCCAUCAAGAACAAUUGCCUUUUCUUCCCUUCCCUGUUAUCUCACUAUUUCAGGAAAGAAGAGGAAGAAUAUAACCAUACCAGAACCAACCAUUUUACAAAAUAAUACCUGUCUCUCAGGUUCUUUUAACUUCCAAAGAAAACCAUUUACAAGUCAAUUUCUGUUCUCACCUUCCAUUCAUUCUCCUAAGUACCUAUUCAUUUUUCCUUAGUAAUUAUUUAAUGCCCCUCAACCAGAAUUACCUCUAUAUUCCCCAUCUUCCCCCUCCCCUCUGAAAGAGGUUAUAGAAGUGUCUGGGCCCUGUUGGGAAAUUGGCAAACCCUCUGAGGGCAAGGGGAAAGCUCCUCCAAUGCCCAUACACAAGUGAAGAAGAUCAAGAAGAAUUUAUCACAAACCUGCCUUGCUAUACAAGUGUCUGAUGUACAAAAGACUGAAGUGAAAUACUUGUUAGCACCAAUAAAAUAUAACUCAGUGACAAAUUUUCUAAAAAGAACUUUGUAUCUAGGAUUGAUAGGCUUGGAAAAAUCUUACAAACUUUUCUUCAACAUCUGAAAGUGUUUUUCAGUCUAUAGUAAUUGUCAGGCCUCUGAGCCUAAGCUAAGCCAUCAUAACCCCUGUGACCUGCACGGAUACAUCCAGAUGACCUGAAGCAACUGAAGAACCACAAAAGAAGUGAAAUAGUCAAUUCCUGCCUUAACUGAUGACAUUCUACCACUGUGAUUUGUUCCUGUCCCACCCUAACUGAUCAAUUGAGCUUGUGACAUUCCUUCUCCUGGACAAUGAGUCUCAGGAGCUCCCCACCGAGCACCUUGUGACCCCCACCCCUACCCUCAAGAGAAAACCCCUUUAACUGUAAUUUUCCACUACCUACCCAAAUCCUAUAAAACUGGCCCACCCCAUCUCCCUUUGCUGACUCCUUUUUCAGACUCAGUCUGCCUGCACCCAGGGAAUCAAAAAGCUUUAUUGCUCACACAAAGCCUGUUUGGCCGUCUCUUCACACAGACGUGUGUAACAGUAAUAAUAUUAUUUUAUUUUUUUGAGACAGGGUUUCACUCUGUUGUGCUGGCUGGAGUACAGGGGUGUGAUCAUGGUUCACUGCAGCCUCAACCUCCCUGGGCUCUAGUGAUCCUCCCACCUCAGCUUCCUGAGUAGCUGGGACCACAGAUGUGCACCACCACACCCAGCUAUUUCUUGGUAGAGAUGUUUUUUUGCCAUGUUGCCCAGGCUGGUCUUGAACUUCUAGGCUCCAGUGAUCCACUUGCUUUGAUCUCCCAGUGUUGGGAUUACAGGCAUGAGCCACCAUGCCCAGCCCUUAGUAAUAAUUUUAAAAAGUCUUUUAGUUUGAAGUUUUUGAUAGCCUGAGAACUGAGGCAGCAUCUUCUUAAAUUAUUCUUGUAAAAUCUGUGGGUUUGAAGUUUGAUUAAUGAGAACACAAUGUGUUUUUCCAAUGCUUCAUAUAGUGUCCCUUGUUCACAUUCCUGUUUUAUUCUUACUGCUUGUGUUCUUUAUUAUGGCUGGAUUGGUACUAGAAAAAACAAACCUUGUUUGUGUAUGAGUGUGGAUGUGUCUGACAAGUACUUGAAAUGUGACUUACAUGAUUUUGCUGUUUUUCUUUUUCAUGAAAUAUUAAGGUGGGAAAGUUGACAUUUUGCUUUUAAUUCAACAUAAUAUGAUGUGAAGAAUUUCCAAAUAAGAUUGUUUUCAUGUAAGACUCAUGGCCUAGAUGCAAUUAAAAUAAUAAAAUAAAAAU
rnacentral:lncRNA from 10 species